rnacentral:lncRNA from 1 species
GUUUUUGGCUCAUUAUUUUGACUAUUUCACAAAAGCAUAUCAGCUAAAUUGGGUAAGAUCCUUAAUAUCUUCCCAAUUCACUCAGAACAUUCUGGACAUAGGAAAACAGCUAAUGAACCAGAGACCAACCGUUCUAGCAAAACAGUUCCUAGCUAUAUUCAUCUAAAAGACAACAAGAUGUCAUAAAAGACUAAUUUAAUUUCAACUCUUGUUCUGUUGCUCAGUAUAAGGGAAUAAAACUGUAAGAUGCAUUAAAACAGUUCGUCUGUAUGCCUUAACUCUAUAUGCCAGAAUUACUGCUCAAACCUAAAUUCAAAUAUGAUAGGAAGUGCCCUAACUUAGUGCCCAGUAAAAACUGGAAACUAAGAUAAAAUGUUGGUUGCAUUUGUCAGCUUUUAAAAUUAUUGCUGAAGAUUCACUUGCUCGUUUUUAAUAUUUACUUUUGAGUCAUUGUUUAACCUAAAGCAGAAUCCCGAAUUACACCAGCUCCACGGUAUCAAAACCCCCAUGUACCUCAGAAAAAGCAGAGUAAAAAUCAAGAAAAAUAUGCAACAGAAUCCUAGUGACUAUCUCUGGACUAUACCAGUCCUAUACACACGUCAUAUAUAUCAUCCUAUAAUGCUUAUGUAUGUAUUUUUUUUUAUUUUUUUUUAUGUAUGUAUUUUUAUUAUGAAAAGUAUCCGUGUUAACUACAAGAGGACUUUUUAAAACUACGUGUGAGAAAGGAAAGUAAAAGUAAGAAAUGAGUUAUAAAUAUUACCCCAAAACUCCACACUAACCCAUUCAAGCAAACCAACCAAGCGGCCCCGAAGCUGUCCCCGGCUCGCCGCAUCCCCGCAUCCCCGCAUCCCCGCCCGCGCCCCGCUCUCUCCCGCAGAGGCCGCGGAGCCCACUGCGCAGGCGCCGCCCGCCCGGCCUCCCGGCCCCCAGGGCGCAGGCGCAAGAACAACCGCGCGCAGCCGUGCACCUGCCCGCGUCCGUCCCCGCGCCCGGCUCUCGAGUCUCCGCCCCACAAGCCAAAAUCUCCGCCACGGGAGCCGCCGACCACGCGUCUGCUUUCGAUUUCGGGCGCCCGCCCCCGCCGUACGGGGCUGUAACAGACGGCGGGCUCCCGCCUCCGAGGGGAACGGGCGGUUUCCCGGGAAGCCAGCACGAGUUAAAAGCUUCUUUGCUUGGAUAUCUCAGCCCUCCUUUGCAGGAAAAACGAAAACAAGCAACCAACCAACGAAACGAAAGCAAACUCCAAUUUUGUAAGCUCAUUACUCCUUCUGAAAGCUUUUUGAAAUAUCAACUCUAA